rnacentral:lncRNA from 1 species
CGAUCACAUCAUAGUAUUACAAAUCAUCCGUCUCAACAUCAAUGUCUGUAUCAAUCAUAGCCUACUCAUGCUCUUUUAUCCCCUCAAUAUCAGUUAUCACAUGACUUAUUCAACAAAUUCAAGUCACAUAUAACACAUUUAGCUCGUUUUAUUCCCCAUCUUUCAUUUACAACAAUUUCAAUCAACAAAUAAAACCCAUCCUCAAUCCCCAUUACUCCCCAAC